rnacentral:rRNA from 1 species
GUAGUCCACGCCCUAAACUAUGUCAACUGGUUGUCGGGGGAUUGAUUCCCUUGGUAACGAAGCUAACGCGUGAAGUUGACCGCCUGGGGAGUACGGUCGCAAGAUUAAAACUCAAAGGAAUUGACGGGGACCCGCACAAGCGGUGGAUUAUGUGGAUUAAUUCGAUGCAACGCGAAAAACCUUACCUACCCUUGACUUGUAGCGAACCUCGCAGAGAUGUGAGGGUGCCCGAAAGGGAACGCUAACACAGGUGCUGCAUGGCUGUCGUCAGCUCGUGUCGUGAGAUGUUGGGUUAAGUCCCGCAACGAGCGCAACCCUUGUCGUUAAUUGCCAUCAUUUAGUUGGGCACUUUAACGAGACUGCCGGUGACAAACCGGA